GGACAGAUGACCGAGUUGGUUAUGGCGGUAUGUCUCCUCCUCCUUCCCUUCCCUUUCCCUUACAAUAUUAAACAAAUGGAAUCGGUAUUGAUAUUGAUUGAGUCGCAGCCAGGUUAAGGUACUCUUAGCACGAUCUCCUGGUCACGUUUGUGGCGUGGGUUCGAAUCCCACUCUGUUCA
rnacentral:tRNA from 1 species